UCUGUCCCAUCCACAGAUUCCAGAUGAGUUCGACAAUGACCCGGUGCUGAUCCAGCAGCUGCGCAGAACCUACAAGUACUUCAAGGACUAUCGGCAGAUGAUCAUCGAGCCCACGAGCGCCCGGCUGCUGCCCGACCCGCUGCGCGAGCCCUACUACCAGCCGCCCUACACGCUGGUCAUCGAGCUCACGGGCGUCCUGCUGCACCCCGAGUGGUCGCUGGUCACUGGUUGGCGCUUCAAGAAGCGUCCGGGCAUCGAGAGCCUCUUCCAGCAGCUGGCACCGCUCUACGAGAUCGUGGUGUUCACCUCCGA